rnacentral:rRNA from 2 species
UAGGGAAUCUUCGGCAAUGGGGGGAACCCUGACCGAGCAACGCCGCGUGAGUGAAGAAGGUUUUCGGAUCGUAAAGCUCUGUUGUUAAGGAAGAACGAGUGUGAGAAUGGAAAGUUCAUGCUGUGACGGUACUUAACCAGAAAGGGACGGCUAACUACGUGCCAGCAGCCGCAGUAAUACGUAGGUCCCGAGCGUUGUCCGGAUUUAUUGGGCGUAAAGCGAGCGCAGGCGGUUAGAAAAGUCUGAAGUGAAAGGCAGUGGCUCAACCAUUGUAGGCUUUGGAAACUGUUUAACUUGAGUGCAGAAGGGGAGAGUGGAAUUCCAUGUGUAGCGGUGAAAUGCGUAGAUAUAUGGAGGAACACCGGUGGCGAAAGCGGCUCUCUGGUCUGUAACUGACGCUGAGGCUCGAAAGCGUGGGGAGCGAACAGG